rnacentral:rRNA from 1 species
GAUGAACGCUGGCGGCGUGCCUAAUACAUGCAAGUCGAGCGAACAGACGAGGAGCUUGCUCCUCUGACGUUAGCGGCGGACGGGUGAGUAACACGUGGAUAACCUACCUAUAAGACUGGGAUAACUUCGGGAAACCGGAGCUAAUACCGGAUAAUAUAUUGAACCGCAUGGUUCAAUAGUGAAAGACGGUUUUGCUGUCACUUAUAGAUGGAUCCGCGCCGCAUUAGCUAGUUGGUAAGGUAACGGCUUACCAAGGCAACGAUGCGUAGCCGACCUGAGAGGGUGAGCGGCCACCCUGGAACUGAGACACGGUCCAGACUCCUACGGGAGGCAGCAGUAGGGAAUCUUCCGCAAUGGGCGAAAGCCUGACGGAGCAACGCCGCGUGAGUGAUGAAGGUCUUCGGAUCGUAAAACUCUGUUAUUAGGGAAGAACAAAUGUGUAAGUAACUAUGCACGUCUUGACGGUACCUAAUCAGAAAGCCACGGCUAACUACGUG